UACGAAGGGGGCGAGCGUUGUUCGGAAUCACUGGGCGUAAAGGGCGCGUAGGCGGCCCUUCUUGUCGCGUGUGAAAGCCCCGGGCUCAACCUGGGAACGGCGCGCGAGACGGGAGGGCUGGAGUUCGGGAGAGGAGCGUGGAAUUCCCAGUGUAGAGGUGAAAUUCGUAGAUAUCUGCAGGAACACCCGUGGCGAAAGCGGCGAGCUGGAUCACUACUGACGCUGAGGAACGAAAGCUAGGGGAGCAAACAGG
rnacentral:rRNA from 1 species